AUGAGCUCCUCUAGAACAUGGACUGUCUUGGUUUGCUAUUUAUAUUCCAAACAUUCAGCACAGUCUUUGGCACACCGUAAGCACUUAAUAAACUUUGUCUCUCUCUCUCUCUCUCCUCCCUUCCCUUUUCUUUCUUUCCUACCUCCUUCCCUCCCUUCCUUUUUUCCUUCCUUCCUUCCUUCCUUCCUUCCUUCCUCUCCCUUCCUUUUUUCCUUCAUCCCUUCCUCUCUCCCUCCCUCCCUUCCUUCCUUCCUCUCCCUUCCUUUUUUCCUUCAUCCCUUCCUCUCUCCCUUCCUCCUACCUUUUCCCUUCCUUCCUUCCUUCCUCUCUCCCUCCUUCCUUUUUCUUUUCCUUUCUUCUGUCCUCUCUUUCUUCUUCCUUCCCUUCUUUCCUUCCUUCCAUGCCUUGGUGCUCUGCUGUAUUGCUUAAGAGGCCAGAAUUAGCAACCAUGGUUGGAAUUACAAAAGUAUAUUUGGCUCUGUACAAGGAAGGACCUUCCAGCAACCAGUGCUAGCCAACAAUAAUAGAAUGGGCCAAUGACCUAUGGAAGUAGAAAACCUCUUAUCCUAGGGUCAGAGAUCCAGAGCUAAAAACAUUUGAGAAGCCAGUCAUCUAGACCAACCCCUGCCUUUUACAUGUGAGGAAACCAAGGCCAAGAUAGGAGAAGUCUCUUGCCCAAGGUCACACGGGUGGUAAAUGGCAGAAACUGGAUUGGAACCCAGAUCCUCUGACUACAAACCUCUUCCCACUGAGUCCUACAAACAGAGCAUUCCCAUCAGGGCAUUCCUUCCAGACCCUCAGUAUCCUUGUCUGUCUUACCCUCUGCCAUCACCCCUAAAGACCUGGAAAGGAUCCGUGUUGUCUUUUUCUGUUUCCCGUGUUGCCAAGACUCAAGAGUUCAUCCUGGCCUGCCUCUUACAGGCUUGGCAGGGCUGGUCCUUGGAGAGAUCAGAAGCUGCCUGGCUUGGGUGUCCUGUGGCACUCCUAGACAACGGGCUCCAGCAGGAAGGCCAGACCCAAGGCUCACCUACACCUUGUAUCUCCCAUCACCCUCAGCGCAUGUCCUACAUACAGCAGGUGUUUACUCGUAAAUACACGGGGGAAGAACUGUGAGGACCAGCUUAACUGAUGUUGGGCCCACCGAUCAGUGAGAAGAUGCAGAGGGGAGCAGCUCUGGGACAGAACGCUGGGCAGCCUUUCCCAGGGCCAGCGUGGUGCUCCGUUUCACUGAAUGGAGCGGUUUUUGUUUUGAUUUGUUCUCCUAUUUCUUAUUUGGUGGUUCUCUGGGUGGGGAAAGAAAGAAUUUUUGGAAUUGUGGGUCUGUCCCAGAAAUGAGGAGUUAAAGUGGGGGACAAUGUGGAGGUACAAUCAAGAGCCAUGUAGAAUAAAUUUGGGGCAAUCUCAGAGGGAAGAAACUAA
rnacentral:lncRNA from 1 species